UCUUUGGAUGGGUUGCAGGCCUUCAGUUUACCUGCUCAGACCCCAGGGGAAAUUCAUGUCACCACUCUGCACACUCCUUGUGAGCACACCUUAUCCUUAUAUGUUGCAGGGGAAUGGAUUCACCAGUUAAGGUGUCUAAAUCUCUCCUAAAAGUUGAUUUCCUUCCUUGGAAUAUGGGCAUCACCACCUGGAUUAAACCUGAACUCCUCUACUAGAAUGGCUCCCCUCAUCCUUACAUAGAGAUGCUAGUCAGGAAAUGAGUGGAAGUCACCAUUUUAAGAAAGGGAAACUCUAAGGAGGUUUGGAAAUACAAAAGAAAGAAGAAACAAAAUGUGUGGAAUACAGGAAUUUGCAAUGCAGAAACAAACAUUAUUCAGGUUACUAUUUCCAGAAAGUGAGCUUUUGGCUUUGCAGCAAGGCCUGUAGGAAAUCCUACAGAAGUGUUAGACCAUGAUUACAGAUUUGGUAACCGGGCCUGAAAGGAAACCCUCAGGGCAAACCUGACUUGUGAAUACCCUGUGACGCUGAAGAGAACCUCAAAUAACCCUCACGAUUCAGGAAAUACCAGAGGAUACAGAUGUUGCAUGAAUGAAUUUGUCAAGCACAUGGAAGGAGGAUGAGCCUGAUUCUUGAAUGGGACAAUCCACUUCAUCAGAAGAGAAAUAAUGCUGAGAAAAACCCCCCCAAAAAAUAUAUCUAUUCUUGUGCUGAGUUCAGGAAAAAAAAAUAUAAUCAAUAGCUCUAUAUAUAUUGAUUUAAAAAAUAACUCUUACAUUUCAAUGAUAUAGUCAACUUCUGGAGAAUCUCAGAGAAGCUCUAUAAGAACACAGAUGCUCAAACUCAUCAUCUUCAAACAGUAACACAGUGUGAUUCUCUUCUUAGAAGAACACGUGUAAAAGCUUUUAUUAGGGUAAAUGACUGGGUGAUCUGGGAAAGCUGAAUUUGUUUCAUCCUGGAGUUGUGAGAGAGAUCAUUGCAUGUUUCCUUGUUGUGAGGAUAAAAAGGCUGUGCAAUAUAUGAAAUUCAAAGCUGUGUGAGCAGAUAAAAUACAAAAGGAAAAGUAAUAGACAAUUUUCCUAUUUGGAUUAUGUAUUUCUUCAAU
rnacentral:lncRNA from 1 species